GACGAACGCUGGCGGCGUGCCUAAUACAUGCAAGUCGAACGCAGUGGGGACGGGUGAGUAACACGUGGGUAACCUCCCAUCAGAGGGGAUAACACUUGGAAACAGGUGCUAAACCGCUCCUGAUGGAUGGACCCGCGGUGCAUUAGCUAGUUGGUGGGGUAACGGCUCACCAAGGCCACGAUGCAUAGCUGGUCUGAGAGGAUGACCGGCCACACUGGGACUGAGACACGGUCCAGACUCCUACGGGAGGCAGCAGUAGGGAAUCUUGGGCAAUGGACGAAAGCCUGAUCGAGCAACGCCGCGUGAGUGAAGAAGGUUUUCGGAUCGUAAAGCUCUUUUGUUAGAGAGGCGGUAUCUAACGAGGAAGCCACGGCUAACUACGUGCCAGCAGCCGCGGUAAUAC
rnacentral:rRNA from 1 species